ensembl:ncRNA F58H1.21 ncRNA
ACAAGUAAGAGAAGUAAUUUAGUGUGAGGAGCGGACUGUGUAUUCGGAUUGGAACAAUGGUUGCAAAACAACAGAGAUUUGGCGGUAUUUCUUCCGAAAAGAACACUCGAACCACCCUAUUAUUACAAGAGAACCCUA